CCCAUUACGCUCCCUGCCCUAAACCCUAAACCCUACUGCGCUCCCUGCCUCUUUCUUUAUUUUUUUCCCGUGCCAAACCCUGCCAGUAGCUGCCAUCGCUUCUUCGUUUCCUGCUGCGUGCGCCAGGAAGAGGGGAGAAUUGUGCAGCAGCCGCAGCCUGCACAUCCCGCCGCAGCCGUUCCUCUUUUCCCAUUCAAGGGUACAGCAAGGUCGCAGCAAAGUUGCGGCAAGGUCGCAGCGAGGAAUUGAGGAGAGAUCGCCGUGGGAACUAUUGCCGUCGAUGUCGCCUUCGCUGUUUUCAAGGGAAAACCCUAGAAGUAGAUGAUUGUGGUGCAUUUCACUAUAUCUCCUCACCUCAUGCUGAUGGGUGUGUGUUGGGGAUCAAUUACCUUCCGAAUGCAGGUUUCUUCAAACUCAGGUCUUGCUAUGCCCAUUUGCUGCUUCGCUUCAUAAGGUUCGUCGAGGCUGAUCUCAUUAUAUGCAACCGAGGAGGUUUUUGACCAGUUUGACUGAAACCACGUUUUAUAUACUUGUCGGUUGACACUCGUUACUGUAGAUCGCGCUAGAGGUACAAUUCUGCAAAAUUUGGAACUAUUGUUCAUAAAAUAAUUACAUGACCUGUUUUUUU